rnacentral:misc_RNA from 1 species
CGAGUUAGGGUCCUCAUCGGGCCCGACCUCCCAACCCAUUGUUUAUGAUACCUAGUGUUGCCUUCGGUAGGCCUGGUCUAUCUGUUAUAGACCUGCCGGGGGGCCGUAAGACGCCCGCCGGAGAGUGCCUACCGACAGCCUCAACUCCAAAAUUCUUUAACCAAACGUGUCUUUGUCUGAGUAACGUCUUUUAAAAUAAAGCAAAACUUUCAACAACGGAUCUCUUGGUUCUGGCAUCGA